ensembl:lncRNA
GUUUUGUUUUUUCCUGAUUUGCUUUCCAAAGUCUUGCCAGGCUACUUGCGUGACUAGAAGGAGCGAAAAAAGCCGCCCUGCUUCCCUGUCUUGCCCUGCCAGAGUGAGAGCGAAUGCAGUGAGGAGAGAGAGGCAGGCAGGCGGGCGGCUCGGGAGGAAAGGAGUUUGCUGUGAUGAAAAUAUGAUGCUUGGUGUGCCUCAAUCACUCGCAAUUCAUUUUCAUUAACUAGAGUCUGCCUUGGCUACUGGGUCCAAAGCUGACAAGGGCUAAUUGAUGACAAUACUUAUGAUUUUGAACUCAUGGACACUAUUCUGUGGUCAAGUAUAGUCAUCUAGCAUAUUUCUCAGUUUGACUCAAUGAGAAAUUGAAAACAGUGCAGAUUAUGUUGAAUGAAAAAACAGUGUAAGAUCUUUUAGAGGUCACUGUUUCUUUGUGUGUUUGAAGUAAACAACAGUUUUUGAUAAAGCACUUGAAUGACUGAGGAAAGGCAUAUUUGUGAGUCGGAAACUCUGAAUUGUAGAAGAUUCAUGAGGUGGACGGAGUGUGUCAGUUUGAAACACUGUG